rnacentral:lncRNA from 1 species
UUUGAAACGGAUUUCUGAAUCGGCCCCACGAAACUAGUGCGAUUUUUGGGGUGUAGAUCAUGUAACAUGAAUCUAUACACGGUUUACAUGCCGGUUGACUGGGCAUUCGAGAGGGACUCUUAUAAUUUAUAGUUGAUAUCUUUAGCAGGAUUUUGGAUUAUGCUUAAGAAAUGUAUAUUGUUUUUGACUAAAAAAAAAAAAAAAAAAGAA